rnacentral:rRNA from 1 species
ACCCUUCGGGGUGAUGGGGACUCACAGGAGACUGCCGGGGUCAACUCGGAGGAAGGUGGGGACGACGUCAAGUCAUCAUGCCCCUUAUGUCUUGGGCUGCACACGUGCUACAAUGGCCGGUACAAUGAGCUGCGAUGCCGCGAGGCGGAGCGAAUCUCAAAAAGCCGGUCUCAGUUCGGAUUGGGGUCUGCAACUCGACCCCAUGAAGUCGGAGUUGCUAGUAAUCGCAGAUCAGCAUUGCUGCGGUGAAUACGUUCCCGGGCCUUGUACACACCGCCCGUCACGUCACGAAAGUCGGUAACACCCGAAGCCGGUGGCCCAACCCCUUGUGGGAGGGAGCUGUCGAAGGUGGGACUGGCGAUUGGGACGAAGUCGUAACAAGGUAGCCGUACCGGAAGGUGCGGCUGGAUCACCUCCUUUCUA